GACGAACGCUGGCGGCGUGCUUAACACAUGCCAGUCGAACGGAAACGCCCUGCUUUUGUGGGGUGCUCGAGUGGCGAACGGGUGAGUAACACGUGAGUAACCUGCUCUUGACUUUGGGAUAACUUCAGGAAACUGGGGCUAAUACCGGAUAGGAGCUCCUGCUGAAUGGUGGGGGGUGGAUCGUUUCGGCGGUUGGUGAUGGACUCGCGGCUUAUCAGCUUGUUGGUGGGGUAUGGACUUACCAAGGCUUUGACGGGUAGACGGCGUGAGAGGGUGACAGGCCACAUGGGGACUGAGAUACGGCGCAGACUCAUACGGGAGGCAGAAGUGGGGAGUAUGCCGCAAUGGGGGGAAGCCUAAUGCAGCAACCCCGCGUGCGGAAUGACGGCCUUCGGGUUGUAAAGCGCUUUAGCCUGUGACGAAGCGUGAGUGACGGUAAUGGGUGAAGAAGCACCGGCUAACUACGUG
rnacentral:rRNA from 1 species